rnacentral:tRNA from 1 species
AAGAAGUUAGUUAACCUUUAUAACAUAUAUUUGUCAUAUUUAAAUUAUCGCUAAGAUACUUCUUA